UUCAUGUUCCCCUGCAGGUUCAAAUGGAUGAAACCAAACUUAUCCAUGGCCUUUCAUCUUAGGAUAUGCUGAAACAGUCACGGGGAGGCCCUCUCCUUCUUGCGAUCACAUCUUCAGGAAAUAUUCUUGGUUAAGAGUGGAAAGUGAGCUUCCAUGAGGGACUGUGCACUGUUGGGUCGAAGAGCUCAAGAACACUGCUCACUUUUCAGAUGCAGAAAGGCUCCCUUCACCACGCCUGCUGGAAAGGCAACUCUUAUGACACCUUGACUGCUUUCUACUAUUCAGUUUCAAGAUUAGUAAUGGAUUCUCACAUAAAUUCCAGUAGAUAAAUUUCUUUGUGCUCUUAAGAUAACACAGGAUCCCUCCUGACUCAGGAUUCAGUUGCUGCAUGCUCUGUAGAGUCCAUGUGAGCAUUGGCCAGGUGAAAGUCCCUGAUGGGAUUUAUCUCCUUUCUUAGAGAUGGCUUAUUCUCCAUGACUGACUCAUCAUCUUUUGGUGUGGGAUACAGAGCUCAUGUAUUUGGACCGAGGGGAACAUAGGUAAUGUGAAGUUCUGAUGGUCUGGUGGUUUUAGUGCUGGUCAUAAAUUUUUAUGCUAAAGUUAUAGAAAAGA